rnacentral:rRNA from 1 species
CCUACGGGAGGCAGCAGUGAGGAAUAUUGGUCAAUGGACGAGAGUCUGAACCAGCCAAGUAGCGUGAAGGAUGACUGCCCUAUGGGUUGUAAACUUCUUUUAUAUGGGAAUAAAAUGUUCCACGUGUGGGUUUUUGUAUGUACCCUAUGAAUAAGGAUCGGCUAACUCCGUGCCAGCAGCCGCUGUAAUACGGAGGAUCCGAGCGUUAUCCGGAUUUAUUGGGUUUAAAGGGAGCGUAGGUGGAUUGUUAAGUCAGUUGUGAAAGUUUGCGGCUCAACCGUAAAAUUGCAGUUGAAACUGGCAGUCUUGAGUACAGUAGAGGUGGGCGGAAUUCGUGGUGUAGCGGUGAAAUGCUUAGAUAUCACGAAGAACUCCGAUUGCGAAGGCAGCUCACUGGACUGCAACUGACACUGAGGCUCGAAAGUGUGGGUAUCAAACAGGAUUAGAUACCCCAGUAGUC